rnacentral:rRNA from 1 species
ACGCGUAAGAAUCUACCUUUCGGUGGGGGAUAGCCGGUGAAACCGGAUUAAUACCGCAUAAGCCCUACGGGGAAACGAGGCCACUUCUUGAAAGCUUCGACCGAUAGAUGAGCCUGCGUUAGAUUAGCUAGUUGGUAGGGUAAUGGCCUACCAAGGCGACGAUCUAUAGCUGGUCUGAGAGGAUGAUCAGCCACACUGGAACUGAGACACGGUCCAGACUCCUACGGGAGGCAGCAGUGGGGAAUAUUGGACAAUGGGCGCAAGCCUGAUCCAGCAAUACCGCGUGCGUGAAGAAGGGUU